GUAUACAGCCAUACCACUCUGAAUGUGCCUGAUCUCGUCUGAUCUUGGGAGCUAAGCAGGAUUGGGUCUGGUUAGUUCUUGGAUGGGAGGCUUGCUUUUUUAUGCU
rnacentral:rRNA from 1 species